rnacentral:pre_miRNA from 1 species
UAUAAUUUUUUACUCUUUAUCUUAUUCAAAUUUUUUUGCGAUUGAUAUUUUUAUUUUUAUUAGAUGAUAAAUCAUGAAUAGUACUUUAUGUGUGACUAUUUUUCUAAUAUUCUAAAAGUUUUUCAAAUAAGACGGAUGGUCAAACGUCGAACACGGAAACC